rnacentral:lncRNA from 1 species
UCGAAAAUCACCUCUCUAUGCAAGGAAACCCGAGACCUGACAAAAUUCGACAUGAACUCGCACUCUACCGGUCUGGCUGGUCACAUGCCGCCGAUCAAACCAACCGUACACAUCGGUCAAACCGGCCUAUAUAUGGUGGUCUGACCAACUCCAUGAAAGAAACCCGACGACGCCUUCGAAAUUUUUACAAUAUUUCUCUUUCGCAUCUAGGUGUCAAAUUUAGGUGUAAACAUAUGCCCCUUACCUUUUUUUGUACUUGUGAACCUAAAUGCACAUAACACAUGGUCUUUGGGCGAUAAUCUAAGACAAAUUUUUCUACAAGACACUCAAAGUUUGUGGUUUUUGCUGUGAGACACCCAAUAAAAGUGUAUCUUCUCAUAGAGACUGAAAAAUAUGGUAAUUAGCUGCUGGACACCUGCCUCAUUAUUUUAUUAUAUUCCAUGGUCGCGGAUCUCCGCCUCCCACUUCCCCCACGGCCUGCGCCGGAUUCCCCGGUAUAGCGUCCUCCGCUCCCCUCGCCAUCGACUGCUCCUCCUCGUCCGCCGCUGCACGCAUAGCAAUCAGUAGUUCAGUUCGUAUGCAUGCAAAAUCAGGUAGUUCAGUUCAUAUGUAUGCAAACUAAUGGUAAUCAAGCUGUAUUACUAUUUAAUUACAUUGCUAUUUCUAUUUAAUUACCUUGCUCGGCCGGUGGAGCUACAGCGGUGGUGGUGGUGAAUUGGUGAAGUCGUCGUCGCUGGCGUGCUGCGGCGGCGCCGCGGCGGCCAGAGUUCAUCGGCUACGGAGAGGCUAGCUCCUCUUGCCGCCAGGGCCGUGGCUGUUGAUCAGCGGGAUGGCGCCGCCGCACAUAUCUAUCUUCACUAGCUCGAUCGAUGCUUGCCGCGAAGCAACGGCGAACGGCGAGAGCAGCAAGCAACCUAGUGCGUGGGUGAGUGCGGACCGUGUAGGAAGGAAGGAAAUCUAAACCGAUGGCCAAAAAAAUGCAACAAAAUUAAGAAAAAAAUCAAAUCAAAAUUGUUGUUCUUAUUUUCUUAAUCGAUUUCGCUUUGCGCAUCCUUGUUGGUGGAGGUGCUGGAGCUGGGAGUGGUGGUGCACUCGCUCAUCAUCGCGAUGUCGCGGAGCGCCUCCGACUUCCCGAGCACGGUGCGGCCGCUCGUGCCGGCACACCACGCGUGGUGCUGGACAUCGAGGGCACGCGGUGACGGGGACACGCGACCCACACGCGUACAGCUGGGAAGCUAUCGUGCCGCUCCCCGUGG